CAGGCUUGACUUGCAAUAUUCUUUCUAAAUGCAUUGUAUAGAUAGCAUAUAAUAAAAUAUAAGCAAAAUAGAAAGAAGCAUUAAAAUAUGAAAGAAAAAAAAUGCUCACUUCCGUUUGCCGCGAAUAUCCACAGGUAGCGAAUUGUAUCCUGGUGUCCCUAACAUUCUAUAGUCUAUACCAUGAGUCGUCAACCUGGUCCCUUCCGCCCACUAGUGGGCGUUUCAGGAUUCCAGGUGGGCGGAAGGGAUUUCCUCAUUUGGAG